GUGCAGCAGGCGAGAAACCUCCGCAAUGCUCGAAAGAGCGACGGGGACGUCCAAGUGCCUACGCUCAGCGUAGGCUGUUCCCGAGCCUAAAAGACUCGGGAGUAAGGGCUGGUAAGACGGUGCCAGCCGCCGCGGUAAUACCGCAGCCCGAGUGGUGGCCGCUAUUAUUGGGCCUAAAGCGUCCGUAGCCGGCUCGGUAAAUGCCUGGGUAAAUCGUCUGGCCCAACCAGACGAAUUCCGGGUAGACUGCCGGGCUAGGGACCGGAGGAGGGAGAGGGUAC
rnacentral:rRNA from 1 species